UUUAAGUUCGUUCUUUAUUGGACCAGAUUUGCUUCAAACUGCGAUGUCUCUCAUUCUUGUUAUCAGUCUCUGGUGGUAUCAUUUUGGGAUGUUAUAUUUCUGAUUUUCUUCUAUUCUAAGCUCUAUUAAUUGUUUGGAUUGGAUUUGAUUGUGUUGGCUGGUUUGGGCUCCCGUAUAGAUGAUUUGCUUACUGGUCAUCGUCGGAUUUUUUGGGAGUUUCUGCCGGAGUUUGGCCAGGUUUCACCAGUCUUGCUGAUGGAAAUUUCUGAACUUUUGGUUUUAUG
rnacentral:lncRNA from 1 species